ACUCUUUUAGUAUAAUAAAUAUAUUUGAUUUCCAAUCAAAAGAUCUUGCCUUAAGAAAGAGUA
rnacentral:tRNA from 1 species